UCCGCUCCCAGCUUUGGUGAUCUGAAUCACUUGAUUUCUGCAACAUUGAGUGGGGUGACUUGCUGCCUCAGGUUCCCUGGGCAACUCAACUCUGAUCUCCGGAAGCUUGCUGUCAACUUGAUUCCCUUCCCUCGUUUGCAUUUCUUUAUGGUGGGGUUUGCUCCUCUCACUUCUCGAGGAUCCCAGCAAUACCGUGCCCUUACAGUUCCUGAGCUUACCCAGCAAAUGUGGGAUGCCAAGAACAUGAUGUGUGCUGCUGAUCCUCGCCAUGGACGUUAUCUCACUGCCUCAGCAAC